GAUGAACGCUGACAGAAUGCUUAACACAUGCAAGUCCACUUGAACUUCGGUUUGGGUGGCGGCCGGGUGAGUAACGGGUAAAGAACUUGCCUCACAGCUAGGGACAACAUUUGGAAACGAAUGCUAAUACCUGAUAUUAUGAUUAUAUGGCAUCGUAUAAUUAUGAAAGCUAUAUGCGCUGUGAGAGAGCUUUGCGUCCCAUUAGCUAGUUGGAGAGGUAACAGCUCACCAAGGCGAUGAUGGGUAGCCGGCCUGAGAGGGUGAUCGGCCACAAGGGGACUGAGACACGGCCCUUACUCCUACGGGAGGCAGCAGUGGGGAAUAUUGGACAAUGGACCGAGAGUCUGAUCCAGCAAUUCUGUGUGCACGAUGAAGUUUUUCGGAAUGUAAAGUGCUUUCAGUUGGGAAGAAAAAAAUGACGGUACCAACAGAAGAAGUGACGGCUAAAUACGUG
rnacentral:rRNA from 1 species